CUUUUUUUUUUCUUUUCUUUUUUUGAAGUGUACAUAGGUUGUGAACAAGUAUUUACCCCCAGUCCUUUUAAUCUCAGCCAUUCAAUCAUCAUAGAUCAUCUUGGCAGAUUUCAAACAUCACUGUAAUCAACAAUCGAAAACAACUACCGGCGGCGGCGGCAGUGGUUGGUGGCGAGUGGCGACGCACCUACGGCAGACAAAGGUACCUCGUCGACGAUGAUUAUACUGUGAGCUGGCGGUAAGAACUCAUGAGUUGUAAACAAUAGUGAGUCCGUGAGUGAAUAGUUUUUGUAAAUAAAGAUGAGUGGAUCUUCAUGUAAUCAUGUUGUAAACCUCUUAGGCCGGUGCUUAUGAGGCGAAGCUUCUUGGAGCUUCUUGUUUGCCAACUCAGCAUCACAUCACUCAGGACUCUACUCAGGACACUCACUGUAUAUAAAUAAAAGCUUCUUGAAACUUCUUAUUACAUUAUCAAUUAUUUUAUAAUUUAUCUCUCACAUACAAAUACACAUAUAUAUGUCUCACACAUAUAUAAAAUAAAAAUAAAAAACAUUGCGACCCCACCUUUUCAGCGUUUUCCAUAUUCUCCAGGAAGACUCUUGCUUGAAGGCUCUCAUCAAAGACACCCACUAUCUAUAAUGUUCAGCGGCUUCCAACCUUGAGGACGCACCUCAAGGACUAUUAUAAGCAACACCCUUAGGCCGGUGCUUAUAGACAUCUUUGGAGGAGCGUCCUCUGACGUGGAGAAGUUGGACUUCAUCGGCAGCUAGCGUCCCGCGCCCUGCAUCCGAACAAAAAUUCUCCACCAAGAAGUUGGAGGACGGAGGAAAGGAAAGAAGUUCUAAGAAGACCACCCUUAUAAGCAUAGGCCUUAGAGAAAAUAGAGGUUUGGAAACCUCUUAGAGAAUAUGACGUGUUUAAGAGGUUUGAGCCUCUGGAUCUGAGCCAAAAACAAACACUCAAUAUUUGCAAAACCUCUUGAAUCUUCUUUUUCAGUUGGAACAAAGAGGUUAUUUAGAUAUUUUCUUAAAAAACAAAUGAGGCCUUAUUUUUUUCCAAAAUUUGAGCCCCUUUCUAAGUUAUAAUAUUUUGGAAGUUGAACAUUUUGUCAAAUUGUUGUCGUUAUUAGUAAUUUCUUUUUUCUUUCAAGAAAUGAGAAAGUAUAUAAAUUAUAAAAUUUAGGCA